UUUUUAAUAUAUUUUAUUGGAAGGGGAGAAUGCUCUUGUCACUAAGCAACGUGAAUACGGAAAAUGCCCGAGGUUGGUUGUUGUCUAAACAGUACAAUAAUGAAGAUAAAGAACUAAAAGCCUGACCUUUUUUGGUUCCUUCAUAAACCAGCUUGAAAUGCCAGCCCAGGGUCUGAACAUGCUCUGUGAUGAGAGAGACACCAUUCCCACCCUGAACCUGACCUUCGCAAGCAGGAGGGAGGAUGCUGGUACACCAGUUGUUUUAUGAGAAUGGCAGCAUUAUUCUUAUCAGUAGGUUGGAGGCACAAGAUACAUAUAAUCUUUACUCGAGAUGUUUAUUCCAGGAUUUUGUUCUCUGGUUCAAUUUCAAAAGGCUCCUGGACCAACUACUUUGGGUCUAUAUGAAAAGUUUUGUCUGGUGCUGUUUUUCAGUACAGGGAGGUACUUAAAAACUGAGAGGUAGGUGGGCCUCUUUUCUUACUUAACAGAUGAACAAAGGGAGAGGUUAAUUGUUUUGCCCAGUGUCAUCACACUGAACAAACCCCCGGGAUGUCGUGAGAAUUCACUUGUGUUAGCCAGCAAAUCUUGGAGAGCCUACAUGACAAAUUUCAAACAAUAAAGUCUCUUUUCUGAAAUGGGUGGUGAAUUUUGAUCAAAGAACAGCAACAACAAAGACUAUAAUCUUUGUUGGAAUUUUCCUUCCAUAAAUAUUUACAGAGUGGUCAUCGGACACCAGUAGAAAGAUCUCUUGAGUUCUUCGCAUGACCUUUGAGGAGAGGACGUCUCUGCUUUGCUUCAGCACAGAGCCAUUUCCAUGCACUCAUUCAUGAAGCCAGUCAUUAUUCACCCAACAGUCAUUUAUUGAGGACGUACUAGGGGCCAAGUACCGAGCUGGGACUGAGCUGACAAAGAUGCUGAAGGGGUUAGUCUCUGCUUCAAUCCAGGGAGCUUACAACCACAUGCGGGAGGGUCAGAUCAUUUCAGUGUGAUGGGCAACGUUAGAGCCAUGUUCAAGAUCUUCUAGAAGCACCAAAAAUGGGUUUCCCAGGCUGUCCUAGGAUGGGCUGGUGAUUUGGGAGUGUUUUCUGGAAGAGGCAAUCUGAGGUGGGUCUUACCAGAGGGAGUUCUCUGUGCGGAUGUUGAAAGGCUUAGGAGAGAAACAGCCAUCCUGAACUGAGAGUUUAGCAUAUUCAGAGGCGGCCGAAUAAGCAAUGGUGUGCUGGUGAGAUAGAGGCAGAACAGGGCAGUUGUUGAAAGCCUCCUUUGCUCGGACUGCACACUGAGCAUCUGGCUGAAAAAAGCUCCAUCUCUGUAUUUCAGAUAUUGCCAGGGAAGAGGAAGGGUUACCACUGGGUCAUUCAUCUUCUGCUCACAUCUCAUUGGCUAGGCCACGUCAAACUCCCAAGAGGGCAGGGGUAGGGGGGUGGGUGGGUGAGUGCAGGCCCCCUAUUUGCACAGAAGAAGGAGGCACUGAAUAGCUGUGAUGACUAUGCUAUGACUAUGUGAUAUUAUCAGGAAAACUCAAAAAUUAGGGAGUUCCCAUCAUGGCGCAAUGGUUAACGAAUCCGACUAGGAACCAUGAGGUUGUGGGUUCGAUCCCUGCCCUUGCUCAGUGGGUUAACGAUCCGGCGUUGCCGUGAGCUGUGGUGUAGGUUGCAGAUGUGGCUCGGAUCCUGUGUUGCUGUGGCUCUGGCGUAGGCUGGCAGCUAUAGCUCUGAUUAGACCCCUAGCCUGGGAACCUCCAUAUGCUGCAGGAGCGGCCCUAGAAAUGGCAAAAAAAGACACCCCCCCCA
rnacentral:lncRNA from 1 species